UACGUAGGGUGCGAGCGUUAAUCGGAAUUACUGGGCGUAAAGCGUGCGCAGGCGGCUUCGCAAGUCAGGCGUGAAAUCCCCGGGCUUAACCUGGGAAUGGCGUCUAAAACUACGGAGCUGGAGUGUGGCAGAGGGAGGUAGAAUUCCACGUGUAGCGGUGAAAUGCGUAGAUAUGUGGAGGAAUACCGAUGGCGAAGGCAGCCUCCUGGGCCAAACACUGACUCAUGCACGAAAGCGUGGGGGAGCAAACAGG
rnacentral:rRNA from 1 species